AAACCAAAUGUCCGCAGACGGUGAAUAGAGUUGCCAGCGGCAUACGUAAUACACUCAGCCACAUCCACAUCCACAUUGACAACGACAACGACAACGACAUCAAUUCGAUUUCGACCUGCUGCUGCCGCCGCCGUCGCCGCCUGGCUCCUCAAACCGAAACCGUUAUACACACUGCUAGCUCCCAUUCCCCUGUGCGGGUCGGAGCCGGGACAGAUGGCUGGCAGCAGCCACACCCGACAUUGCUGCUGCUGCUGCUGAUGAUGAUGAUGAUGAUGGGUCAUCCACUCCUGCUCUUGCUGAGCGGGGCGCUUCCUGUCUGUGCGUGUAAUCGAUAACACCUCUAACGUCGACAACUCUAUCUAGCUUUGCUUGGCUGACCAAAAUAUAUAUAUAUAUAUAUAUAAGAAAGUGAGGUUAAAUACGAAACCAAAAGUAAAAUAUGCCUCAUCAGAAGCGAGCUGCUGCUGGCCCCAUUUGAUUGUGCAAGCGCUGGCGAUGACGACGACGACGAGACCGAUACCGAUACCGAGACCGAGCCAAACGUUGUUUCGCUCGUUGCCAGCUGCAGCAUUCUCUUCUACCCAAUACAAUCCCCGACCCACCGCUCCGCCUUUUCCCUGACCCUGCCUCAGUGGCACUUGCCCGUGAGCAACAUCAUCAUCAUUGGAAAUGGAAACGGAAUCGAGCAUUCGUUUGUGCUUGCUUGUCCAUGCCGUGUGCUCCGGCUCGGUGCCGUCUGCCUCUGGCUUUGCUUGAAGUGCCAAGUCACGAUGCCCGACGACGACGACGCGACGGCCAUCGCCGUUUAUUGGUAUUGGUGUAACGUUGUCGUUGUGGUUGUCGCUGGCGAUGCCUGUGGCUCGCUGGCUGCUGCUGCCGUCGCUGCUGCUGCUGCUGCUUGCUUGCUUGGCUGGUUUGUCGCUCGCUGCUCGAUUGCCGACGUUAACGUCGUUGUCGUCAUCGUCAUCAUCGGCAUUUCGUGUGCUACGUUGGCAUGAAAGUGAGCAGAAACCAUGGGCAGCUGGCGUGCCUGGGAUUCGAUUGCCAUUCCUAUUCCCGUGCAGGCAGCGGGAUUGAGAAACUAGAGAUGAGUCAAGUGCGUGCGUGCAAACGUGAAGCGAAAAGCUAACUUAUCGAAAGUUAAAUUAGUACGCUGUUUACUUGAGAUGCAUGUGCAUUCGAUUGUUUUGAUAAUUGCAAUAAAUGCAAUAGUAAAUAAUUAUAGUCAAAGUAUAGUAUAAUGUUAUAAUUUUCACAAAGCCGAUAUUUCGUGCUAUAACAACAAUCUCUUCUUGUGCACAUCACUAAGCACGACACGAAAAACACCACAAAACGUAGAGAGCAAUGAGCGGCAGCGGCGCCCGAACGGCCAUUCAACGGCAACGGCAACAAAAUUUUCGAGGCCGUCACCAUCGACGAGAUUGAGAGCGUGCCAGAGAGGGCAGGCGGAGACGUUCGUGCGUUUGGCUGUGUGUGCGUGUGUGUGUGUGUGGAGCUUGGGUCGCGCUUGGUUCGUUUCAUAUCGGUUGUGGCUGCCGCUGCGACUAUGUCUGCUGCUGCUGCUGCUGUGCCUGCCCAGCGUCAGAGCAAUUACGUAUAAUUUUUGUGCUCGCCUCGCUUCCAUGGAAUUCGCCGCCAUUGUACAUGAACGCUGGCGAUUCUGGCGGCUUCGCUUGGCAGAGCUGCUGCUGGCUGCUGACCAGUUCCAGUCACCAGUCGCUGUCGCAGUUGCAGUCGCAAUACCAAGCCCAUGCCCAGAGUCAACUCCAAGUCUCGAUUAAUAUCAGCAUCUGACCAAGCCCAGCGUCCAGUCUAUUUCCGUUUGCUCUCAGCUUGCCCGCCCCCUUGCCAUGUUGAUGCCUCUCUAUCUCUCUCCCUAUGGGCUCUCUCAUGCUUGCGCGCGCGCUCUGGUCGUGUCCUUCACUGGCUUCCAUUUGUGACUCCUCGCUGGGGCCCAUGAUAUCCGGUGCAGGCACCUCUGGGGCAAAGCGGCAGCCGCACAAAAGCGAAUACGCAAAACGAAACGACAAAAGAAAAAAAAGUAAAAACCGAAAUAAAUAAAAAUGAAGAGGAGUAAAGUAAAAAGAAGUACAGCAAAUGAAACUGCCUUCUGGAUUUGUGUGCUUCGCUAGCUACGCUUAUUUGCCUGGUGCUCUCGGCUCGGUUAUUGAUUCUUUCAUUUGGCAGGCACAGCUGAGCCAGCAGGCAGCCAGGCAGCCAGACGACGGCCAACCAAGCUAGGCAGGCAGUUAGUCAGGCAGGCAGGCAGGCAGGCAAACCCAGAGUCGCCCUCGUCAUCCACUUUUCGUUCAACACAAAAUGGUUGCCUGCUGCUCGAGUUCGAAACUCAGCACAGCUCGGCGCGACGCGACGCAACGACUCUCUGGACUGCGCCCCCGGCAACGACAUCAUCAUCUACGUCGGCGUCGUCGUCGUCGUCGUCGGCACGUUGCUGCUGCGUGUGCUUGGUGCUUGGUGCUUGGCGCUGGCACUGGGUUGCUCUUUGGUUUCGCUUUGGCUCGAUUUCAUGGUGAAUACACCAGCAACCAGCAACCAGCAGCAGCAGCAGCUCAACCAAUACACACACACACACACACACACACACACACACACACACACGUGUGUGUAUGUACGAGCAUUUCCACACAAGCGACCAUUUGGUUGGCGUCAUCGCUGUGCGGUUCGCUUGUUAUCUGGAGGCGGACCACAUGCACACACACACACCAACACCAACACACACAUACGCACAAAGCACAGAGUAGAACAUCAGCCGAGGGCAGGGCAGAACAAACGUCGUAUAUACGAGUGGUUGUGUAUGUUUUUUGUUGUUGCUCGCUCUGUUCAAGCAGAUUAACCUGGGCAUGGAAGUUGCAGUUGUUGCCAGUUGCCAGUUGCCUGCGUUCCGCAUCGAAUUUCGGAUACACAUCAUCAUCAUCAUCGUCAGUGCCCAAGUUAAGUUCAGGUGAAAAAGCCAAACUUUCUCUGAUCAGAAGCGCUUUUUUGUGGGCUGUGGAGUGUGGGAGGGGGGAGAGAUAGAGAUGACACUGAUUAAGUAAACCUCAUUUUACCCCCUUUGGCUUUGCAUUUAUCCGUUACAAAAACCGUAUUGUCAAUGUUUUGCAUAGAAUCGAUAACUAAAUAAUUUAUCGAUGCUAGAUGUUGGUAAGAAAUGCACUUGCCUGACGUUUGCAGUCGCGUCGUUGUCUGCGUAAUUCAAUACGACAACAACAAACGGUAAAGAUCAACAGCACACGGCUUGCUAAUGCUUAGGGUUAGUUUUGUUGGAGAGAGGACACACAUACACACAGCUGACGACGAAUAAGGACACAAAGGCAAAUACGGCAAUGAAGAAAAAUAAAAACGAUAACAAGCAAGCAGAACCGAAAACUUGUUCAGCUUCGAGAUCAUGCGGCGUUGCGGCAACGCCAGGACAGGCUGUUCCCGAGCGACGCCUUAAUUCUGGCCAGCAUCUUCUCUGCUUCGUGCCCUCAUGGCGGCGCAGCGGCGCUGAUGAUGAUUGUUGCACCUGGUGGCCAACAAAAUGCAGCAGCUGGCAACUGUGCCAACUGUGGCAGCUGCUUCUGCAUCUUGUUUGUAUUGAUGGAUGAAAGAUUUCCUUUUCAACUUCAACUUUCUAAAACGCCUGCCUGAUGGCCCAAACAAUUUGUGCCCUUUUCCCCUGUUAUGAAUGCUGUCUGUUCACGCAAAAUGAAAAUGCUUGCAAAUUUAUCAAAACAAAAUUCCUUCUGUUUGAUUAUUCGCUUUGCUUCAAGUUUGCAAUAUUAUAUAAGCUCUCCAAAAUAGUAUGCUUGUGUACAAAUUUAGGUUUUUAUUUUUAUUUUUACAACAACUGAGAAUUUCUGCAUAGCAGAAUGCCUUAUUUCGCAAUUGCCCAAACAUCUGUUCGAUGCUGCGAUUUAAUACUAAAAAGAAAUACAUUAAAUACUAGAUGAGUUAUGUAAUUGACAAUAA